AGCUCUGUAAGCGUAUAUCAAAGUUGUUGCAGUUAAAACGCUCGUAGUCGAAUCUUGGCUGAACUUACGCGGAGUCCGCAAGGAUUCUGCGGUUGAGGAAAGCCUUUGUGGAUUGUGUGCGCGGAGGUGUUUUAUUACACUUCCGUUGUACUGCCACCGUUUACUGUGAAAAAAUUAGAGUGUUCAAAGCAAGCGAUUUGCCCUGAAUACAUCAGCAUGGAAUAAUAGAAUAGGACCUGGUAUUAUUUUGUUGGUUUGUAUAAUUUCAGGUAAUGAUUAACAGGGACGGUUGGGGGCAUUUGUAUUCCGAGGCGAGAGGUGAAAUUCUUAGACCCUCGGAAGACAAACAGCUGCGAAAGCGUUUGCCAAGGACGUUUUCAUUGAUCAAGAACGAAAGUAC
rnacentral:rRNA from 1 species